CUAAGUAAAAGUCAAGAGAAAAGAACGGGGGAUAAGGGGGAUUUGGGGUCUUCUCCGCAGCAAAAAAAAAAGAAAAUAAAGAAGAAGAAGUCAAUCUUUGCCUCGUUCUGCAGUAAUCAGCGAAGGAAAAAAUACAUCAAGCUUGCCAAAUAUUUUAAUAGAAGAAGUAGAAGAGGAAGAGAAUUUAGGUGGCAUUGGCGAGGAUUCCAUCAAUUAGAGAGAGCGAACUGAUAGUAUAUGAGAAUUUAGGUGGCAUUGGCGAGGAUUCUAUCAAAUAGAGAGCGCGAACCGAUUGUAUAUGGUGCUUUCAUGUAGGAGGGGAUUCAAGUGAAACGGCCAAAGUAUAUGGACAUGGCAGCUCAUCCAAUUGAAAUCUCCCACAUAUGCAUGUACGUUGUUGAAGACAUACCAUAAAUUAGAUGGUAAGGACUAGAGUCAGAGUCACUGAAGGUGAGGCUGCACCUGCUGCCUGAGCCCUAGUUUGUGGCAAAGAAGACGAAGUGGUGGAGUUAGGGGUCUGGGCCAAGCGAGAGGAGAAACACCUACUCGUGGACAAGCUAGAAAGCCAUCACCAGAGCCUAUGUAUGAGCAUGAGGAUGACUUUGAGUAGCAAACUGAGGAGCAGAUGCCAUCCCAACAUCAUGUAGUUCCUGAUAGUGCUCCGAUGCUUCAGGACCUACAAGUUUUAUUAUUGGCUAGAUUGGAUGUUGCUCCAACUCUUGGUGCUCUUCAAGUUAUUUCAGGCUCUCCUAUUAGUUGGUGCUAAACCGCCAGUUUAGUGGCCUAGUGUGGGAUUUCAGACUCCUGGUCCUUCUUCAUUUCCUUCUAUUGUACCUCUGAGAUUUAUAACUCUGCCAGUUUUAGCUAGUGCUUCUAUUUUAGUGUUUGAGUGGAAUAGUUUUGAUAGGUUUAUUAUUGGUGCCUUACAGAUUUGAUAAUACAGCCGGAGAUAAGGCCUAUGACUUUUUGACUGAGUACUAAGAUAUGUUGUUCAACCUAGGUAUUCUUGAGGCCCAUGGAGUAGCUUACACUUCAUAUAAGUUUGUGGGAGUAGAUAAGGAGUGGUAGAGGUAGGUUCUUGCUUGUAGAACUAUUGGUUCUCCUAUGAUGAGUUGGGAGUAGUUUACUGAAGUAUUUCUUAAUUGGUUUAUGCCUUAUAGCCUCCGCGAUUAGCGUCGGGAUGAGUUUGACAGAUUGGAGAAAGGCUCCUUAUCAGUAUCUAA